CCAAAUCACCUGCAUUAAACUCCACAUGUUUUCUAUGUUUGUUAGCAGCUUGCAUGUACCUCUCAUUUUGUUUCUCAAUGGUUGCUUUCACACCAUCAUGCAGCUUCUUUAUCUGCUUAGCUCUUUCUCAGCAUCUCCACUAAAUUGCUUUGUUGUAGAAUGAGGGAUUAAGUCCAAAGGACCAGCAGGAUUAGCACCAUAAACUACCUCA
rnacentral:lncRNA from 1 species